rnacentral:rRNA from 1 species
ACAAAAGCUCAAAUUUGAAAUCUGGCACCUUCGGUGUCCGAGUUGUAAUUUGAAGAAGGUAACUUUGGAGUUGGCUCUUGUCUAUGUUCCUUGGAACAGGACGUCACAGAGGGUGAGAAUCCCGUGCGAUGAGAUGUCCAACUCUAUGUAAAGUGCUUUCGAAGAGUCGAGUUGUUUGGGAAUGCAGCUCUAAGUGGGUGGUAAAUUCCAUCUAAAGCUAAAUAUUGGCGAGAGACCGAUAGCGAACAAGUACAGUGAUGGAAAGAUGAAAAGAACUUUGAAAAGAGAGUGAAAAAGUACGUGAAAUUGUUGAAAGGGAAGGGUUUGAGAUCAGACUUGGUAUUUUGUAUGUCUUGCUUUCGGGUGGGGCCUCUGCAGUUUACUGGGCCAGCAUCGGUUUGGACGGUAGGAUAAUGACAUUGGAAUGUGGCACUACUUCGGUGGUGUGUUAUA